AUUGAACGCUGGCGGAAUGCUUUACACAUGCAAGUCGAACGGCAGCACGGGGGCAACCCUGGUGGCGAGUGGCGAACGGGUGAGUAAUACAUCGGAACGUGCCCAGUCGUGGGGGAUAACGUAGCGAAAGUUACGCUAAUACCGCAUACGAUCUACGGAUGAAAGCGGGGGACCGUAAGGCCUCGCGCGAUUGGAGCGGCCGAUGUCAGAUUAGGUAGUUGGUGAGGUAAAGGCUCAUCAAGCCGACGAUCUGUAGCUGGUCUGAGAGGACGACCAGCCACACUGGGACCGAGACACGGCCCAGACUCCUACGGGAGGCAGCAGUGAGGAAUUUUGGACAAUGGGCGCAAGCCUGAUCCAGCCAUUCCGCGUGCAGGACGAAGGCCUUCGGGUUGUAAACUGCUUUUGUACGGAACGAAAAGGCUCUGGUUAAUACCUGGGGCUCAUGACGGUACCGUAAGAAUAAGCACCGGCUAACUACGUGCCAGCCGCCGCAGUAA
rnacentral:rRNA from 1 species